ensembl:lncRNA
UGAUGAGGUUAUAUACGUGGGGGGGGGACAUCUAAUGAGGUUAUCUACAGGGGGCACCUGAUGAGGUUAUAUACAGGGGGCAACUGAUGAGGUUAUAUACAAGGGGGCACCUAAUGAGGUUAUAUACAGGGGGCACCUAAUGAGGCUAUAUACAGGGGGCACCUAAUGAGGUUAUAUACAGGGGGCACCUAAUGAGGCUAUAUGUGUGGGGGGGGCAUCUAAUGAGGUUAUAUACAGGGGCACCUGAUGAGGUUAUAUACAGGGGGCACCUGAUGAGGUUAUACAGGGGGCACCUGAUGAGGUUAUAUACAGGGGGCACCUGAUGAGGUUAUAUACAGGGGACACCUAAUGAGGCUAUAUACAGGGGACACCAAUGAGGUUAUAUACAGGGGGCACCUAAUGAGGUUAUAUACAGGGGGCAAUGGUACCGAUUCAGUGUGGAGGCUAUAUACAGGGGGCACCGGUACCGAGUCAGUGUGUGG